GCCAGCACAGUGGCACGUGCCUAUAGUCCCAGCUACUCGGGAGGCUGAGGUAGAGGGAUCACUUAAGCCCAGGAGUUCUGGGCUGCAGUGCGCUAUGCUGAUCAGGUGUCCUCACUAAGUUCAGCAUCAAUAUGGUGACCUCCCGGGAGCGGGGCACCACAGGUUGCCUAAGGAGGGGUGAACUGGCCCAGGUCGGAAACGGAGCAGGUCAAAACUCCCUUGCUGAUCAGUAGUGGGAUCACAUCUGUGAAUAGCCACUACACUCCAGCCUGGGCAACAUAGUGAGACCCCGUCUCU
rnacentral:SRP_RNA from 1 species